rnacentral:rRNA from 1 species
UUCUAGAGCCAUGCCAUCCUGAAUGCACCUGAUCUAGGAAGCUAAGCAGGGCUGGGCCUGGUUAGUGCUUGGAUGGGAGACCACCUAGGAAUAUAGGGUGUUGUAGGCA